ensembl:misc_RNA 7SK 7SK RNA
GGAUGUGAGGGUGAUCUGGCUGCGACAUCUGUCAUCCCACUGAUGACCAAGUUUGAUUCUGCUGAUCUGACUGGUUUGGUGGGUGCCUCCUUCCUUCUUCCCCACUCCAUAUGCAUUCUUCCCAAAAUUGUGUGCCAGUGGAUGAACUUCCCCACAUAAAGAUUGUCAGGUCUUUAGUUGAGGGUAUAUGAGGAACCAUGCCCCCUGUUAAAAUCUCCAAACAAGCUCUCAGGAAAGCAUUAAAUGGAGGUAUGGGGAGAGUGGAAUCACCCUUUACCACUGCCUCCUUCACUUUUAACCAGUCACAUGGGA